GUAUGCUACUCCAAUUACACUUACUGAAAUAGUUUGAGUAUAUGAAGAUUACCUAUGAACAUUUUUGUUAAUCUAGCUCUUUCUGAAACUGCAAUUGGUUUGCAGGUCUCUCUCUUUGGAUCUAUACUUUGAGUCCCAGAUUUGCAUGAACAACUGUAGUCCCCAUUCGUAUUACUGCAGGUUCCAUAGCAAGGAUACUGAUCUGGUAAACUACACUCAUCGAUAUCUGCAAACAACAUGCAGCAAUAGAGAAACAACUGAAUACCAACACACAGGUAUGGGUUGCCUGCAAAACCAUCGUUGCAGGUGCAGAGAUAUCCUGUAGCAUUUGGUGACAUGACGCAAUGGCCAUUCUUGCUGAUGCAGGCAUACGAUGAAAUGUUCUUCACUGCCUCGUCGCAUUGUUCAUGUCCAGCAACCCAGUCAAGCACAGUAGGGACCCCGUCGCUGAACUUCUCUGUGAAUCUGCUGCCCUCGAGAUAGGAAGCCUCGAACCUGAACCAAUCCUGCUCAGCGACAAAGGCGUAGCUGCAUGGAUUGAAGCCACGCACCCCAGAGUUGUCGAACCUAUCAUCGAAUGUUACGUUGGAGGAGCUGAGGUUCGGUGCAAUGGAUGUCUGGCAACAGCCCAUCCCGGAGCAGUGCCCACUCUGAUCCACGCUUUGCGUGUCCGCGCACAUGGAGAAACACCCAGCUCCGACAUUGUGCUCGUUAAAGCCUCCCAGAAAUGCAAGGGUGUUGCAUCCAACUGCUGUUAAUUUGUUUGCCUUGGUGGAGAUUGUAAAGAAAUCAGCAGUACCUGAUGAGGCCCAUCCAUCCGUAUUGUUGCUAUUGCUGUAGAAGCACUUGGAGGCGAUCAGGGUGCUGACUCGGGCCUGUCCUCCUACCAGGCUGAUGUUGUAGAUCUCCAUUUGGCUGCUUGAAUUCCCCAUGAAAACACGAUUGUACUCACAUGAAACAUCAAACCCUUGACUGUAGAAGCAACCUUGACCGAUGCCGAAUGGGUAUGGGAUGGUGAGGUUGCCGCAUGUUUCUCUGCAUCCAGGUUUCCCCAUCCCGGACGCUCUGCUGCUCUUGAUGCUUGCUAGCAGCAGGGUAGCUGCAAAGAUUUGCCAUGGUGAACAAGCCGGGAAAUGUACUUGGUGACACAGGGCCAAGACAGUGAGUGGUACAUGAAAGGAACGAAGGUGAACUGAUUUUCCAUCAGUGUUAGUAUAGAGUGGCCACUGAGAUUAAGGGAUAGGAUUAUUCCAUAGAUCCCUGGACUAAAUUCUGCCAUCUCGAUCGACUUGGAUGCAAGCAUACAUUAUCACCACAGGCUGGUCCUUAUACGAGGUUGCCGCAUGUUUCUCUGCAUACAGUCUUCGCCAUCCUGGCUGCGCUACCU